UAAUCAUAAGCAUUUGUGUCAGAUAACUUCCAUAAACUCUCAACAUACCUGGAACUUGGAUUAAAUUUCCACAAAGCACAUGCACUGUUGAAAUAAAUGAGGUUCACCGAAACGAGGGUCACGCUGAUCUUCAACUUGAGAGCAUUUUCUAAUGAACAUGUAAAAACACUGAAGAACAGACACCAGGCUAUAAAUACCGAUGAAGCACUCAGCAAAUGUGUUUGUGAAGACAUCACCUCAUUGUUCAUUCAGUAUUGAAUUUCCCCAUCACUUGCUGCCAGGACACAUAUGAUGAAACAGAUGCACAAAAUGAGGAAGGACUUGGCAUAAACAAGCGAAGUGUACUGCUCCGUCAUGGACAAAUAAACACCGGAUUUUCUAGAACUGUGUGACUGUGGAAAUAAUUUUGCAUCAAGUAGAACAGCCUGAACCUAUGUUAGAAAGAGCAGUAAGGAGAGUCAGCAUCCUAGGAAUAAGGAAUUGUCUUCUGGAGUCUGGAAGAAUUGAGUUCAAACGAACAUCUCUAAAGGUUCCCAUGUGCCAGACAGAGAUCAGCAGUAACACGGACUGACUGUUUCAUAUCACUAAACAGCACAGAGUGUGUCAUUUGGCCAGGUGAGGAUAUACAGUGACAGACCUUUUUUCCUUUCAGGUGUUGUUGUAGGCUCAAAAAUGGUCAGCAAUAAAAUAGAGGAAAAAUCAGUGAAUCACCAAGUCCCACAGAUGUAAUGGGUAACCUUCUGAGAAAGAAGAAAAAUAUAUUCCAAAGUGAUGAUUUUAUUCAAUUAAAAGCAUAGCUGAAAGCAAGCUGAAUCUGCUAAACACAUCGGAUAUAGAUUACAUUGCAAAAACGUACGAGUGAAGAGCCAUGAAUUGCACUGCCACUUAUGAAAAUAUUCAUCAUCUCAGGCUGGUGCCAGAAUAUGUGGAAUAGAGCACGUUAUUUCUGGUUUGCUUCUGCUGUCAAAUUGGUGACAAGACCAUUAUCUCUAAGAUUCUGUUGGAAUAAGGACUGGGUAUAACUUGAUUAACCAAGAUGGAUACUGAUAGCUAGGAUAAAGUUCUUAAGAAGAAACUGACCCUGAGAAUCACAAAGGACAAUAGAUAAUAUUUGAUGCAAGCUUGUGCAGAAUGGAGUAGAAAACAGAGUGGAAUAGCAUCAUUUAGGAACAGAGGCAGAGAAGCCCAGCUCCUUGUGCAUGUAAUUGUGGAUGAGUUUCUACUGAGUAGGAAGGCAGAAGGGUGCAUGUGUGCAGUGUAGGCAUAACUCAUGUCCAUAACCAUAUCUGGCUUGAGUCCUGCUCAUACCUAGCCUUGGAGAGGACCUGAGGAGCUGACCUGAGUAAAAGGGAUGUGUCAGAAAAAAGAAAAAAAAAUUUAAACUAUUAAUGAAUAAACCAGAAAGAAGAAAAUGUGGGCAGUCUUUGGUUACUUGAAGUUUUGGAGUGCUUUUUGUAGCCUGGAAGGACAUAUGUUAUAAAUAACUGGCACACCAAGAAGAAAAAUUAAGGGGGGGGGGGGGGUGGAAUGUUAAGUGUUUUGACAUUUCAAUGCCUGAAGACUCUGCUGUGGAUAGCUCUUCAAGAGAGAUAAUAAACUUGAAUUUUGCUAAUGAAAUAAAACAAAAUGUAAUAAAGGAUAUGAGUAUUGCAGCCCUUCCUGUGUGUAAGUUAACUUGGAGAA